UGGUGGAGCGAUUUGUCUGGUUUAUUCCGAUAACGAACGAGACUCCAGCCUGCUAACUAGUACGCGUAUCUCUCAGUGCGCGCUACUUCUUAGAGGGACAAGCGGUGUUCAGCCGCAUGAGAAGGAGCAAUAACA
rnacentral:rRNA from 1 species